UACCAGCACCCCGAGUGGUCGGGACGUUUAUUGGGCCUAAAGCAUCCGUAGCCGGUUCUACAAGUCUUCCGUUAAAUCCACCUGCUUAACAGAUGGACUGCGGAAGAUACUAUAGAGCUAGGAGGCGGGAGAGGCAAGCGGUACUCGAUGGGUAGGGGUAAAAUCCGUUGAUCCAUUGAAGACCACCAGUGGCGAAGGCGGCUUGCCAGAACGCGCUCGACGGUGAGGGAUGAAAGCUGGGGGAGCAAACCGG
rnacentral:rRNA from 1 species